GCAGGCCUAACACAUGCAAGUCGAACGGCAGCGGGGGGUAGCUUGCUACCUCGCCGGCGAGUGGCGGACGGGUGAGUAAUGCCUGGGGAGCGGCCCAAUCGAGAGGGGAUACCAGUUGGAAACGACUGCUAAUACCGCAUACGCCCUGAGAGGGGAAAGGUGGGGAUCUUCGGACCUACCGCGAUUGGAUGCGCCCAGGUGGGAUUAGCUAGUUGGUGAGGUAACGGCUCACCAAGGCGACGAUCUCUAGCUGGUCUGAGAGGAUGACCAGCCACACUGGAACUGAGACACGGUCCAGACUCCUACGGGAGGCAGCAGUGGGGAAUAUUGCACAAUGGGGGAAACCCUGAUGCAGCCAUGCCGCGUGUGUGAAGAAGGCCUUCGGGUUGUAAAGCACUUUCAGUCAGGAGGAAAGGUGGCUAGCUAAUACCUAGUUGCUGUGACGUUACUG
rnacentral:rRNA from 1 species